GUGAAUCAUCGAAUUUUUGAACGCAAAUUGCACUCUCCGGUUUUCCGGGAGAGUAUGCCUGUUUGAGGGUCUGUUUAAAAAAUAAUCGAGGCUGCUGCUGUGGUGACGCUUCGGAAUUGGGUCGUCUUUACCUUUCGGUUAAGUGACUUAAAAUUUUUGAAUGAUAUCUGAGCGUAUUUAAAUUUAUUUGGUACGUCUUUGUAAUAUCAAAUGUUUAUUAGGUGUGGUCAUCCUCAUGUGACUCACGUCUAUAAUUUUUCAUCUAAUGACCUCAAAUCAGGUAAGAGUACCCGCUGAAC
rnacentral:misc_RNA from 1 species